GAUGAACGCUGGCGGCGUGCCUAAUACAUGCAAGUCGAGCGAACAGAUGAGGAGCUUGCUCCUCUGACGUUAGCGGCGGACGGGUGAGUAACACGUGGAUAACCUACCUAUAAGACUGGGAUAACUUCGGGAAACCGGAGCUAAUACCGGAUAAUAUAUUGAACCGCAUGGUUCAAUAGUGAAAGACGGUUUUGCUGUCACUUAUAGAUGGAUCCGCGCCGCAUUAGCUAGUUGGUAAGGUAACGGCUUACCAAGGCAACGAUGCGUAGCCGACCUGAGAGGGUGAUCGGCCACACUGGAACUGAGACACGGUCCAGACUCCUACGGGAGGCAGCAGUAGGGAAUCUUCCGAAAUGGGCGAAAGCCUGACGGAGCAACGCCGCGUGGGUGAUGAAGGUCUUCGGAUCGUAAAACUCUGUUAUUAGGGAAGACCAAAUGUGUAAGUAACUAUGCACGUAUUGACGGUACCUAAUCAGAAAGCCACGGCUAACUACGUG
rnacentral:rRNA from 1 species